rnacentral:lncRNA from 1 species
AGCUAUCUCAUAAUUUUUGGUUAAGUAUUUGGAUUUGAAAAACUAUUUUAUUUAAAUAGUUAUAUAGCCCUAAAGGCAUUUAUAGGGCAAAUGUAUUUUUGUGUAUUUCAUUUUGAGGGGGAAACUACUCCCAAAAGUUGUAUCAUGAUAGAACAUGAUUUUACAAAUUUUUUGGAAUUUAUUUGGACCAAUUUGGAGUUCAAAAUCAAAAGUUAUCGAAGAAAUAAGAAAAACAGAAAAAGAAAAGGGCUAAAAGAAAAAAAAAGGGGGAAAACCGGACCGGCCCGGCC